rnacentral:rRNA from 1 species
UACGAAGGGGGCUAGCGUUGCUCGGAAUCACUGGGCGUAAAGCGCACGCAGGCGGGUCGUUAAGUCGGGGGGGAAAUCCUGGAGCUCAACUCCAGAACUGCCUUCGAUACUGGCGAUCUUGAGUCUGGGAGAGGUGAGUGGAACUCCGAGUGUAGAGGUGAAAUUCGUAGAUAUUCGGAAGAACACCAGUGGCGAAGGCGGCUCACUGGCCCGGUACUGACGCUGAGGUGCGAAAGCGUGGGGAGCAAACAGG